CCUAAGAGUGUAUAUUUGAACGCUUUUAACUGAAAGCAAUUGUCCGUCGCACAAAGAGGAGAACCAAGGAGAAUCGCAUGAGAAAGGGAGUGUGGGA
rnacentral:lncRNA from 1 species